ACUGUGUUUCAGCUUGCUUUCUAUUAAAGAAAGAUUUUUCACCAGCUGACCCUGCAUUAAUCUAAGCAAUGAAAGACUUUAAUCAGAUGCUGCAGUGUGCCCAUUUCCUGCAGGCUUCUAACAAGAAUUGGAACCUGCUGGAAGCAGAAGCUGACUUUCUUGUUCUAAAAAUGAGAACCUUCGUAAAGAAGACUGUCAUGAGACCAGUCUCUCUGAAUGGAUAUGGGCAUUCUGGCACCGAAGCAUCAAAGGGCUAUACCUGAGGGCUGUGUGGGACAGUUUCUUGCUGGCAGAACAGAGAUUGGCCUCUGAGAGGCAAACAAGGAAAGACGACCAGCUGAAUACUCUGUGUCAGGAAAUUACUCACUUCUGUGCAGUAAUCUGCUUUCUUGUCUUUGUCCCUCAUAUUAGUGCACUGGAUUUUUCAGAAACAUCUCUGGGACUAAAGUAAUUUGUUUGUGACCUUUUUUUUUGAGAGAUAGCUGACUUUGUUCACACUUCUUCAUGGAAACCAAUAGGAGACUGUUCUAUUAAGUUCAGCUGCUAAAUAUACUGACUUCUUAAUAUACUUCAUAAAAUGGAGACAUUACCAGUGACAUCAGGAGAUGAGUGAUCUCUGGAUCCUUUUGGUUCCUGUGUGCACUGUUAAAAAAAGGAAGUAUUUGGCCUGGCAGCCACUUCAAAUUUCUUUCUCCUUCCCUGUUUAAAUCAGACCUGACCUCUCUAAAAUAGAUUGAGCAGAAGAAAACAGGCACUGCUGCAGCCUGGCUGGGGAAAAUCAAUGUCUUCUUGACUAUGGGGGGGGGGAGGAGGGAAAGGGGGGGAAGAAAAAAGAAGAAAAUAAAAA